UAGUAACUGCGAGUGAAGCGGGAAAAGCUCAAAUUUAAAAUCUGGUGGCUUCUGGUCAUCCGAGUUGUAAUUUAGAGAAGUGUCUUCCGCGCUGGACUGUGCAUAAGUCUCCUGGAAUGGAGCGUCAUAGAGGGUGAGAAUCCCGUCUUUGGCAUGGACCCCAGGGCUUCUGUGAUGCGCUCUCGAAGAGUCGAGUUGUUUGGGAAUGCAGCUCAAAAUGGGUGGUGAACUCCAUCUAAAGCUAAAUAUUGGCGAGAGACCGAUAGCGAACAAGUACCGUGAGGGAAAGAUGAAAAGCACUUUGGAAAGAGAGUGAAACAGUACGUGAAAUUGUUGAAAGGGAAACGCUUGAAGUCAGUCGUGUUGACCGAGACUCAGCCUUGCCUUGGCUUGGUGUACUUCUCGGCUGACAGGUCAGCAUCAAUUUUGAUCCUUGGAUAAUGGCAAGGGAAAGGUGGCACCUUUAUAGGUGUGUUAUAGUCCUCUGUCGCAUACAAGGAUUGGGAUUGAGGAACUCAGCACGCGCCUCAGGGUGUCGGGGCCUUUUGGCUCACGUUACGUGCUUAGGAUGCUGGCGUAAUGGCUUUAAACGACCCGUCUUGAAA
rnacentral:rRNA from 1 species